AAUUUUGGACAAUGGGCGAAAGCCUGAUCCUGCCAUGCCGCGUGUGUGAAGAAGGUCUUCGGAUUGUAAAUCACUUUAUGUUGGGAGGAAGGGGUUGAAGCUAAUACCUCAAAUCUUUGACGUUACCAACAGAAUAAGCACCGUCUAACUCUGUGCUAGCAGCCGCGGUAAUACAGAGGGUGCAAGCGUUAAUCGGAAUUACUGGGCGUAAAGGGCGCGUAGGUGGUUCAGUAAGAUGGAAGUGAAAUCCCCGGGCUUAACCUGGGAACUGCUUUCAUAACUGCUGAGCUAGAGUACGGUAGAGGGUAGUGGAAUUUCCUGUGUAGCGGUGAAAUGCGAAGAUAUAGGAAGGAACACCAGUGGCGAAGGCGACUACCUGGACUGAUACUGACACUGAGGUGCGAAAGCGUGGGGAGCAAACAGG
rnacentral:rRNA from 1 species